GCCUAGUGGUUAGAGUGUAGAGGUGGCAGGUAGCCUAGUGGUUAGAGUGUAGGGGCGGCAGGUAGCCUAGUGGUUAGAGUGUAGAGGCGGCAGGGUAGCCUAGUGGUUAGAGUGUAGAGGCGGCAGGGUAGCCUAGUGGUUAGAGUGUAGAGGCGGCAGGUAGCCUAGUGGUUAGAGUGUAGAGGUGGCAGGUAGCCUAGUGGUUAGAGUGUAGAGGCGGCAGGGUAGCCUAGUGGUUAGAGUGUAGAGGCGGCAGGGUAGCCUAGUGGUUAGAGUGUAGAGGCGGCAGGGUAGCCUAGUGGUUAGAGUGUAGAGGCGGCAGGGUAGCCUAGUGGUUAGAGUGUAGAGGCGGCAGGGUAGCCUAGUGGUUAGAGUGUAGAGGCGGCAGGGUAGCCUAGUGGUUAGAGUGUAGAGGUGGCAGGGUAGCCUAGUGGUUAGAGUGUAGAGGCGGCAGGUAGCCUAGUGGUUAGAGUGUAGAGGCGGUAGGGUAGCCUAGUGGUUAGAGUGUAGAGGCGGCAGGGUAGCCUAGUGGUUAGAGUGUAGAGGCGGCAGGGUAGCCUAGUGGUUAGAGUGUAGAGGCGGCAGGUAGCCUAGUGGUUAGAGUGUAGAGGCGGCAGGGUAGCCUAGUGGUUAGAGUGUAGAGGCGGCAGGGUAGCCUAGUGGUUAGAGUGUAGAGGCGGCAGGGUAGCCUAGUGGUUAGAGUGUAGAGGUGGCAGGUAGCCUAGUGGUUAGAGUGUAGAGGCGGCAGGGUAGCCUAGUGGUUCGAGUGUAGAGGCGGCAGGGUAGCCUAGUGGUUAGAGUGUAGAGGCGGCAGGGUAGCCUAGUGGUUAGAGUGUAGAGGCGGCAGGGUAGCCUAGUGGUUAGAGUGUAGAGGCGGCAGGGUAGCCUAGUGGUUAGAGUGUAGAGGCGGCAGGGUAGCCUAGUGGUUAGAGUGUAGAGGCGGCAGGCUAACCUAGUGGUUAGAGUGUAGAGGCGGCAGGGUAGCCUAGUGGUUAGAGUGUAGAGGCGGCAGGGUAGCCUAGUGGUUAGAGUGUAGAGGCGGCAGGCUAGCCUAGUGGUUAGAGUGUAGAGGCGGCAGGGUAGCCUAGUGGUUCGAGUGUAGAGGCGGCAGGGUAGCCUAGUGGUUAGAGUGUAGAGGUGGCAGGGUAGCCUAGUGGUUAGAGUGUAGAGGCGGCAGGGUAGCCUAGUGGUUAGAGUGUAGAGGCAGCAGCGUAACCUAGUGGUUAAAGUGUAGAGGUGGCAGGGUAGCCUAGUGGUUAGAGCGUUGGACUAGUAACCGGAAGGUUGCAAGUUCAAACCUCCCGAGCUGACAAGGUCGU